AAAGUGCGAUAAGCACUGUGACUUGCAGAAUUCAGCGAAUCAGCAGAUUUCUCAACGCAAAAGGUGCUAGGUAGACUUGUCUGCCUGGCAGGUACAUUUCAACGUCGUUCAAUUUGCAACCAUGAUUUUCUGCUCUGAGCAGAUGUAUUUCUCGCUCAGUGUCAGAUAUUUCCUGGUGUGCAUUUUUGCCAGACGUGCAAGCGUCCGGCGGAUGAUCCGCUACUUCAACUGGCGGAUGGAUAAUGCCCCGCAUUACUUACACAUAUUCUGUUAUUUAAUGCCCGGGGUAAACACCAACCAAUCGACUUGAAGUGUACCAGACUACCCGCUGAAUUUAA
rnacentral:misc_RNA from 1 species